rnacentral:rRNA from 1 species
CAGCCGCCGCGGUAAUACGAAGGGGGCUAGCGUUGCUCGGAAUUACUGGGCGUAAAGGGCGCGUAGGCGGAUGUUUAAGUCAGAGGUGAAAGCCCAGGGCUCAACCUUGGAACUGCCUUUGAUACUGGACAUCUUGAGUGUGGGAGAGGUGAGUGGAACUCCGAGUGUAGAGGUGAAAUUCGUAGAUAUUCGGAAGAACACCAGUGGCGAAGGCGACUCACUGGCCCAUUACUGACGCUGAGGCGCGAAAGCGUGGGGAGCAAACAGGAUUAGAUACCCCAGUAGUCCCUGUCUCUUAUAC